UCGAACAUUGGCCAGAAUAUUUAGUGGCUUUCUACCAGAAAUAUUUGGCAAUCUUCAGUAAUUGACCUCAUUAGCGUUUACUUUUGCAUUAGAGCUCUACAAAUUAUGUGCCUAUCUUUAUUCCUCGAGAGGACAGCUUUUUUCCUAAUUCCUGUUGUGCCAGGCAAAAAUUACAAUUUUCAUUCGUUUCUUUAUUUUUAUUUUAGAAAUGAAAGAUUUCUCCUUCUCUUUCUUUUCACGGUUAUAUCUAUUUUAUUUACAUGCUGUUGUUAUUUUUAUUAUUAGUUAACAGAUAUUAAAUAGUUAGGCGUGAUGUUAACCAUAUAUACGUAUGAAAGUGAUUGAAAUUUUUAUAGAACAUCGUAAUAUCAUAAUUCCUUAUCUUUUUUACGUGAAUUAAUUCUAUAAAAAAAGCUUAAUGUCCUAUUAGACAUUUUUGUAUGCACAAUGUAUCAGUUUGAAAUAGCAUGUGAUAUUCCGAUGAUAUUAUGGAUAACUUGACUAAAUUUUUAAUAGCAAGCUGACAUUAAUAUUUACACUCGUAAAUUAGUAAAAUGUGGAACUGCAACUAUGCCUAAAGCUUCGCAAGCCAUAAACGCCAUGAACAAUAUGUUAAUGUUAACGUGGAAUGUUGAAGGUAGAAACGUUUACAGAUUAAACGAUACAGAACAAAAGUUUGCUAUAUUUAACGAUCCAGAACAUCAUUUUCACUAUUAUUUUCAUGACGCAUUUGAUUCGCCAAUUGAACCUAAUUACAUACAGUUUCGUUGAAAGGUAUAAGCAUAUUUGCUCGAUUACAAUAAGUAUGUAUUUAGGACAAGUUAUGAGAUACUAUAACGAAUUUCACAUAAAUUUUAUGUAUUUUUUUUAUACAAUGUUGAAGUACAAUGUUAAACUAAUUUGUCAAAUUCAUUUUACUUAAAACAUGAAAUAAUAAUUAUAGUCUUUGUGAUACAGGUGAGAAAAGGACAAUCGAUAUCGUUUGGUAAAAGGUUUUAAAUUUUCAUAUAUAGGAAAUCUUUUUUAAUAUGAAUGUUCUAUUUCAAUUAAAUUUUAUAGCUUAUAAAUAGAGAAAUAAAUAUUAUUCUUAAUACAUUUUCCAAACAUUCUUUGAAAUUAUAAUCGCAUCUAUAACAGAUGACUGCUUGACGUAAGUACACAUUGUGUGUGCACGCAGUAGUUGAGAACAUUCUAUAGUCAGACACAAGAAACAUUAUGAAACAGGUAAGUCCUUUACGCUUCGUCAUACAUGCUUCACUCAGAAUGAAUUAUGGUACGAUAAACAUUUUUAUUCGGGAACGUCGGAAAAAGAAAAUAUUUUAGCUAGACCUCUGUUUGUAUCAAUUUCUAUUCUACUUUGAAAAUAACAAAUUGUAACAAACAAUCGCUUAACAAAGACGUUUGAAAGCAUCAAACUCGAAUACACGUAAUCGGAUGUAUGAUAUUGUACGUGCUUGUUUAUCGCAGUAGUACGUAAACAACAGUGUUCUCCGUUACAUGUUUCAACUAUUCUACAAAAAAGCAGUGAUACUACGUUAAUUUGUAUUUGUCGCGUGUAACUAAUAUUGCUUUAUACCACGUAGGAAAUACUAUGAAGACGUAGACAGUAACGGAAUUCGGAAUGUAUGGAAAUAGACUGGUUGCGCAACAUGCUUGGUAAAUUAAGAUUCUGACGCGCAUAAAUGCCAUACCGAUGUUUAUUGCGAGACUUUUAAAACAACGCCUGCUCAUAAUGUAAAACUAAUAUACAUAUAAGCAUAAAUAUAAAAGACUUUGAAAUUUUGUGGAUUACAUCGCCGAUCACAUUGCCGAUGGCUUCGCGUGAGAAAGACGUAUAUUCUAUGAAAGGACCCAAGAUGGAACUUUCUAUCGCAGUAACUUUGCUAAGAAAAAAACGAGGAAAGAAGGAAAAAAAUUAAAAAAUAAAUAAAGUAAAAAUAAAAAAAAUGAUCAGUUGAAAUUUCUCGUUGUUAGAUCAAAAGGGCGGACACCGGUUAGCUUUUGCUGUAUCCUCGGUAACAUUUUGCUAUAUCUAAUUUAAGAUUUUAUUCAUUCCCUUCAAUGUAGAGAGAAGCUUUUACCACAAAAUCUUUUUAUACUAGCAGCAUAUAGUGUAUAGAUGUAUAUUAGGGAUUUUUGUUUAAAGACAAUAUCGAGUCUGUAUAUAAUCGGUUUUGCUAGAAGAACGAUACAUCUGAAAAAUGUAUCCAUUACUACAAUUCUUUCGUUUACUUAAUCACCUUCGUGAGUUUACCAGUUGUUUGAACUCGAAGGUCAUUCGAAGAUCAGCAUAUUACACAUGACUCAACUUAUCGUUUUUAUAAAUCACCUAAUAUGCUGACAAAAUUAUAUCGUACGAUUGAAAAUGUAACGAUGAUCGACCGAAAGUGUUGAAAGAUACGACCUUGAAAAAGAAGGAAAGUAUUUUUUUUUCUAGUUUCCUUUCCUUGUUUCAUUUCUCUUUCUGGAGAGAACGCCAUCUUACCUUUACAUCUCUUUAUAUCGUCUAAUAAAACAACAGAGUGGAAAAAUGAAUUGGAAGUUGUUAAUUGUAUAUGAAAAGAAAAUUUGUAUAAUUCAUUCCAGUAUCGAAAUUCCAGGAUGUGUUUGCUAUUACGUUAAAGUCGGUCGCACGAAUGCGGACAAACAACGUCGAAAAGGACGAGAUAGAGGCAGCGCGGUCUUAGUUAGAAGACAGAUAGCGAAGUAAGAGCAGAAGAGGCCGAAUCUAAGAUUAUUUCGGGAUUGGCCGGAGAUAAACCGGGCCAACGUCGACCGAACCAAGUGAAACGAAGUGAACGGAGCCUUGAGGUUUGAGUCAUCUUUCUGAACUCGAAUUUGGCUCGUUCGCAAAAUUACGCACAACACCGUAAUAAUCAAGCAUUUCUAUAUUUCCGUGCAUUAUUUCUUUUUCCUUUUGGAUUUCAUUUUCUUUUCCUAUCUACUCCCCCUCCUCCUCACCCAAUCCCAUCCUAUCCUAUCCUAUUCUAUUCUAUUGUAUGUUAUUCUAUUCUAUUCUAUUCUCUUCUCUUCUCUUCUAUUCUAUUCUACUCUAUUCUAUUCUAUUCUAUUCUGUUCUAUUUUAUUCUACUCUGUUCUAUUCUAUUCUAUUCGGCAAUCCUUCCUGAUCCUAUUAUUAUAACUCAUGCACUUCCUUUAUCAACGUUUUCUUUCUUACUAUAUUCGGAAAUUAUUAUACUAUGUGAUAAAUAGAGGAUCGGUUAAACGUUUCAUAAAUCUUCCAUAAAAAUUCCUUCUAUUAUACAUACGUUCAUUGAUAUUUUAAUUUUUCACAGUUGCCUUGAAAAAAUUUAAUUUUAUGUAAUAGACACUUUCAUACAUGUCCCUUCGAGUCAGAUUAAUUACUGUCAUAAAAUGGAAACAAUUAAAACCGCACAAUUUGCUAGUAUAAAAUCAAUCCUAACAUAAUACAAACGUAAUACAACCACGAAUGCGAAUAAAUAAUAUAUAAUAAUCGUAUCAAUAAAUAUUUGAUGAAAAUAAAAACGAUACAUGAAUCGUAGAAAGAUUGAAAUAUACGUAAAUCGAAGUAAGAAUAUUGAGUUUUAUACCUUUGAUGUUUUUAUAUAUUAACUUAUAAAUACUCAUAUACUAU